AUGAUUAUUUUUCUUUGUAAGAACUUUUUUUUGAGACAAUUUCUUUUUAAGAACUUUUUUUCGGUCCUUUGUAGAGUUCAAAUGAAAAAAAUAAAGUUCAGUGGUCUUGGCCCAAAUAUUCAGAGCUCGGCCCAAUUCCAGUGCCCAGCUCAUCUUACAACACGAAGAGAUUCUCAAAAAAAAAAGAGAUUCUCAACAAAAAAUCUUAUACAACACGAAGAGAAACAAAGAAGCAAAUCUGCGCACGCGGCGGCCCUGAGCGACGGGUCGGCACCAGCCGCCACCGGCGCGCUUCCGCCCGCGUCCGAUGGCCGGAGACCAAGCACGCCCACAGGUGUUCGACGCAGGCCCGACCGGCGCAUGCCGUGACCCCUUGCUUGCUGGUUGCCCUCUGCUCCCGGCUUCUGAGGUUGCCGGAGGAUUGCGCUCCUGGAUUGGAUUGGAGUUUAGAUGGCAAUUGUAUCAAGUUAUAGCCUUAUAGGGCUGAUACAGUUAUAGGAUCACAAUCCAGGAUUGGAUUGGAUUGAGGCGAAACUUUGCACUUAUCGAUGAAAUACCAACUUGUAUGUCAACCCUGUUCAGUUAUACCUGAAAUGUCAACUGUAUCCUAGUUUGCCCAUGAUUAAUUAAUCUAUUAACUUGCCAAUCUGCUUAGUUGGUUAAGUCUCAAGUCUCAACUGUGUGUUUAUUGUCCAGGAAGCAAAGCAAAUGAUGAAAUUAAAGCUGUUAGUACAUAAAGAUUGAAGAGCACAUAUUCUGAUGUGAUGGACUAUGUUAUAGGAAUGCUGACAUGGUUGAGUUUUCGAUGGAAUCAUAUGUGCGUCAGCUCAAAUCAUCUUACAUUGUUACAUACUUUUACACCUCCGCAGAAUGAAAUCGCUCUUCGCCCUGGCAUAUUUUUUUGCUAACCUAAUUGUGAUUCACACCUACAGGAGAAGCUUGUUUGUUGGACGUGUUGCUAAACCUGAGUAACAGCCUAAUAUUAAUGCACUGAACCAAUGUGUGAAGCGAAUUAGGACUUGACAAAAUACCUUGACAAGACUAACUGAUCAUACAGCACUCCUACACCAAAGAAUGCACUGAAUGCAACCACAAAGGCUACCUUGUAGUCAGUUUGUUUUGCUGACAGAAUGUGAUGUUCUUCCGCUGAAUUGCAUUUUUG
rnacentral:rRNA from 1 species